AAAAACUGUGUUUGUUAGUGGCUGAUCACUUGUGAAUUUGCGCAGGGGGAGAUUGGUGAAAAAGGCCAGAAGGGAGAACCUGGAACUGGUCACCGUGGGCCCAUUGGUCAGGCCGGUCCACCAGGACAAAAGGGCGAGCCUGGAGAACCAGGACCACCUGGAGCACAGGGCAUUCAGGGUAUUCGUGGCAAC